CACAAGUUCAACAUGAAACAUGGAUUAGAAUUUAAUGGGGGAUCAAAUCAAGUCUGGAAGUGUUACAGGAUGGAAGAGUCAGCCUACAGAUGAAAAAACACUGAGAGUGCAUUACCAUUAAGUACAACAGCAAUCCUUUAUAGUUCUGUCACAGCUAGAAACCUCAAAUAAUUCUGCUUCUCUGUCUAAAGAACAACUUGUCCUUUACGUUCAGAGUGUUGGGGAAACUGGGUACUUAAAUGGCCCUAAAGAUGUUUUAAUUUUGCUGCCAUUGCAGAGAUGAACAUCAUACAUGGACUCUUUAGGUCUAAUCUACCAAAAAAAAUUUUAUCCAAUAGGAAAGGAUUUUCAUGUACUGGGAACACAACUAUCAACAAUGCAACAUUGUACAGGUGCUAGUUUAUCAUUCAAGAGCCUUAUACAAUGAUGUUAAUCUGCAAUUUGUAUGUCCUUCCCCAAGCUUCCACCAGAAGUUGAAUCUAUGAGUCAUGUAAGUUACAUGAUCAACAGUUGAUAUGUUUAACGGUGUUGUUUUUCUUUUCUCAAUAUAGGUUAAUAGUAACAUUGGAUCUGAAAAAAUUCUUGGUUGGGGCAAGACACUGAAUAAAUUGUAUUGAUUGGAUGGAUGACAUGACAUUUCUAUACUUAAUUCGGAUUCCCCAGACGGUAUUUGAUAUUAAAAAAAUUGAAGUGCAUAUCUGGGCUCCCUUCUUUUCUGAAGCCCCGUUUCCCCUUGACUCGUAAUAAGCCCGUAGGGGGUCAUGCCCCUACUGUACGGUAUAUAUAAAAACAACAUAUACCGAGGUUUG